rnacentral:rRNA from 1 species
AGCGCAUACGGUGGAUGCCUUGGCAGUCAGAGGCGAUGAAAGACGUGGUAGCCUGCGAAAAGCUUCGGGGAGUCGGCAAACAGACUUUGAUCCGGAGAUCUCUGAAUGGGGGAACCCACCUAGGAUAACCUAGGUAUCUUGUACUGAAUCCAUAGGUGCAAGAGGCGAACCAGGGGAACUGAAACAUCUAAGUACCCUGAGGAAAAGAAAUCAACCGAGAUUCCCUUAGUAGUGGCGAGCGAACGGGGAUUAGCCCUUAAGCUUCAUUGAUUUUAGCGGAACGCUCUGGAAAGUGCGGCCAUAGUGGGUGAUAGCCCCGUACGCGAAAGGAUCUUUGAAGUGAAAUCGAGUAGGACGGAGCACGAGAAACUUUGUCUGAACAUGGGGGGACCAUCCUCCAAGGCUAAAUACUACUGACUGACCGAUAGUGAACCAGUACCGUGAGGGAAAGGCGAAAAGAACCCCGGAGAGGGGAGUGAAAUAGAACCUGAAACCGUAUGCGUACAAGCAGUGGGAGCCUACUUGUUAGGUGACUGCGUACCUUUUGUAUAAUGGGUCAGCGACUUAUAUUCAGUGGCAAGCUUAACCGUAUAGGGUAGGCGUAGCGAAAGCGAGUCUUAAUAGGGCGUUUAGUCGCUGGGUAUAGACCCGAAACCGGGCGAUCUAUCCAUGAGCAGGUUGAAGGUUAGGUAACACUGACUGGAGGACCGAACCCACUCCCGUUGAAAAGGUAGGGGAUGACUUGUGGAUCGGAGUGAAAGGCUAAUCAAGCUCGGAGAUAGCUGGUUCUCCUCGAAAGCUAUUUAGGUAGCGCCUCAUGUAUCACUCUGGGGGGUAGAGCACUGUUUCGGCUAGGGGGUCAUCCCGACUUACCAAACCGAUGCAAACUCCGAAUACCCAGAAGUGCCGAGCAUGGGAGACACACGGCGGGUGCUAACGUCCGUCGUGAAAAGGGAAACAACCCAGACCGCCAGCUAAGGUCCCAAAGUUGUGGUUAAGUGGUAAACGAUGUGGGAAGGCUUAGACAGCUAGGAGGUUGGCUUAGAAGCAGCCAUCCUUUAAAGAAAGCGUAAUAGCUCACUAGUCGAGUCGGCCUGCGCGGAAGAUGUAACGGGGCUCAAACCACACACCGAAGCUGCGGGUGUCACGUAAGUGACGCGGUAGAGGAGCGUUCUGUAAGCCUGUGAAGGUGAGUUGAGAAGCUUGCUGGAGGUAUCAGAAGUGCGAAUGCUGACAUGAGUAACGACAAUGGGUGUGAAAAACACCCACGCCGAAAGACCAAGGGUUCCUGCGCAACGUUAAUCGACGCAGGGUUAGUCGGUUCCUAAGGCGAGGCUGAAAAGCGUAGUCGAUGGGAAACAGGUUAAUAUUCCUGUACUUCUGGUUACUGCGAUGGAGGGACGGAGAAGGCUAGGCCAGCUUGGCGUUGGUUGUCCAAGUUUAAGGUGGUAGGCUGAAAUCUUAGGUAAAUCCGGGGUUUCAAGGCCGAGAGCUGAUGACGAGUCGUCUUUUAGAUGACGAAGUGGUUGAUGCCAUGCUUCCAAGAAAAGCUUCUAAGCUUCAGGUAACCAGGAACCGUACCCCAAACCGACACAGGUGGUCGGGUAGAGAAUACCAAGGCGCUUGAGAGAACUCGGGUGAAGGAACUAGGCAAAAUGGCACCGUAACUUCGGGAGAAGGUGCGCCGGCUAGGGUGAAGGAUUUACUCCGUAAGCUCUGGCUGGUCGAAGAUACCAGGCCGCUGCGACUGUUUAUUAAAAACACAGCACUCUGCAAACACGAAAGUGGACGUAUAGGGUGUGACGCCUGCCCGGUGCCGGAAGGUUAAUUGAUGGGGUUAGCGCAAGCGAAGCUCUUGAUCGAAGCCCCGGUAAACGGCGGCCGUAACUAUAACGGUCCUAAGGUAGCGAAAUUCCUUGUCGGGUAAGUUCCGACCUGCACGAAUGGCGUAACGAUGGCGGCGCUGUCUCCACCCGAGACUCAGUGAAAUUGAAAUCGCUGUGAAGAUGCAGUGUAUCCGCGGCUAGACGGAAAGACCCCGUGAACCUUUACUGUAGCUUUGCACUGGACUUUGAGCCUGCUUGUGUAGGAUAGGUGGGAGGCUUUGAAGCGUGGACGCCAGUUCGCGUGGAGCCAUCCUUGAAAUACCACCCUGGCAUGCUUGAGGUUCUAACUCUGGUCCGUAAUCCGGAUCGAGGACAGUGUAUGGUGGGCAGUUUGACUGGGGCGGUCUCCUCCUAAAGAGUAACGGAGGAGUACGAAGGUGCGCUCAGACCGGUCGGAAAUCGGUCGCAGAGUAUAAAGGCAAAAGCGCGCUUGACUGCGAGACAGACACGUCGAGCAGGUACGAAAGUAGGUCUUAGUGAUCCGGUGGUUCUGUAUGGAAGGGCCAUCGCUCAACGGAUAAAAGGUACUCCGGGGAUAACAGGCUGAUACCGCCCAAGAGUUCAUAUCGACGGCGGUGUUUGGCACCUCGAUGUCGGCUCAUCACAUCCUGGGGCUGAAGCCGGUCCCAAGGGUAUGGCUGUUCGCCAUUUAAAGUGGUACGCGAGCUGGGUUUAGAACGUCGUGAGACAGUUCGGUCCCUAUCUGCCGUGGACGUUUGAGAUUUGAGAGGGGCUGCUCCUAGUACGAGAGGACCGGAGUGGACGAACCUCUGGUGUUCCGGUUGUCACGCCAGUGGCAUUGCCGGGUAGCUAUGUUCGGAAAAGAUAACCGCUGAAAGCAUCUAAGCGGGAAACUUGCCUCAAGAUGAGAUCUCACUGGGAACUUGAUUCCCCUGAAGGGCCGUCGAAGACUACGACGUUGAUAGGCUGGGUGUGUAAGCGUUGUGAGGCGUUGAGCUAACCAGUACUAAUUGCCCGUGAGGCUUGACC